rnacentral:lncRNA from 1 species
CCCCAUAGGAGAAAAUUGCAGUGACAGCCCAGAUAACAUGGGAAUUUGGACACUCUACACAGAUAAAGCUGCAGGUGAGAUUAUAAUCAUGAGUAAAGCCUCAAGAGCAUGGAAAGAACAGUUUCACAGUGGGAGGCUGAUGAGGAGACAACAAGGAAUUCCAGAGCUCUGCUUCUUGCUGAAGUGGGAAGAGAUAGAAGUGAAAAGGACUGAUAGCUUGCAGGAGGAGCRGUCCAUCAGGAGAGGGAGAAGACAUGAAAAUUCUCAUUACUGUUCUCAGGUAUGUUAUUGUUUGUGUAUGAAUAUAUGAGAUAGCAAGAGAGCUGCUCCUCUCAGUGUUUUUUGUU